GCAGUCCUGUCAACUGAUGUGCUGUAUAACCCCUGUUUCGUAAUGAGGGGGUCGGGGGUUCGAAUCCCUCUUGCGGCACCA
rnacentral:tRNA from 1 species